rnacentral:rRNA from 1 species
CACGUAGGGACCAAGCGUUGUCCGGAUUUAUUGGGCGUAAAGCGCUCGUAGGCGGUUCGGCAAGUCGGGUGUGAAAUCUCCGGGCUCAACUCGGAGGGGUCACCCGAUACUGCUGUGACUUGAGUUCGGUAGGGGAGCACGGAAUUCCUGGUGUAGCGGUGAAAUGCGCAGAUAUCAGGAGGAACACCGGUGGCGAAGGCGGUGCUCUGGGCCGAAACUGACGCUGAGGAGCGAAAGCGUGGGUAGCAAACAGG